GGAUGUGAGGGCGAUCUGGCUGUGACAUCUGUCACCCCAUUGAUCACCAGGGUUGAUUCAGCUGAUUUGGUUGGCUAGGAAGGUUUCCCCCUCCUCCCUCACCAAUCCAUGUGUGUCCCUCCUGAAUCUGUGCACUCGGUUAAAGAGGACAACCUUCCCCCAGAGGAGAGGACACUGUAGCUGCACUCCUCUGCUAGAACCUCCAAACAAGCUCUCAAGGUCCAAAACUCCUGAAAAAAGAAACCCAUGCUCUCCCUCCCCUUG
rnacentral:snRNA from 1 species